GGAGGGAGUUGCCAUAGAAACGGAGCGCCAACACAACAACUGACAAGCAGGGAAUCACUGACUUUUGCUGCUGUUUUCAAAGAUUUCGCCUUUCGGGAGAGGAAAAAAACCUCAGCAACAGGGGAAGCUCCAAGAUUUAGCAAUUUCUGAAGGCAGAAGAACUGCGAAAGCUUCUUAAAUUUUUAAGAAGGCUUUGACAUCCAUAAAUUCUUCAAUGAUAAUGACCUGCUACACCCCAGAGUCCUGUCAGACUACAUCUACAAAGAACACUGAACCAUACAGUUAAUAACCACAAAUAUACACUAUUGUUCAAAAUUCAGUAAGAUAUUUUAUGAUUUUGAAAAGACAUCUCAUGCUCACCAAAGCUUUUUUUUUUUCAGGAAAAAGCAUUUAUCUGAAACAAAAAA